AUAUUUUCCUGAUCUCCAUGUCACUACUGUAAACGUCAAGGGCCUUUUAGUUUUGUUGUUUUCGGAAACCCUUUGUUAUUAUUAUGAUCAAGUGUUUGUUGUGACAUGGUAUUUCUAUUUGGGCUUGCAUAAGAGCUACAGGUGCAGGAAUUUUAAGGGUCGUGUCCUUAUUCUCAACAUAACGCUGGGAUUUGAUGAUUAGGGUUAGUUACCAAGGGUAUAAAUCUGGCAAAGUGCAUGUCAAACAAAACGUGGCAUUCAAUUCCAAUCAUGUGUUGCCACCUGAACCACCUGAAAGUGAGAUAUGGAUUACAAUGAAUAAUGACAGCUUAUCAAUCUUUAACAAAUUCACACUGAAACAUUGAAAGGAUAAAGACAAGUUAGUUGUUUUCUGUUUCAGCAUGUUCGGGGUUUGUGGGGAGGUUCACAGACAUCCUCAGGGAGGAUACCAAGUAUUGAAAUGUCCGGAUGAAUAAAAGAGACAGUCAUAUGUGCAGCAUCAAUGCAAAGAAAGACCAUAGAAGAGCAACAGUGAGUGAAACUGAAGUCCUGCCUUGAGAUCCCUGGAUGAGUACUCCAGGUUGACAGUCUGGAAGGACUAGACAAGGAAGUCCUAAACAGAGGCUGCACCCCUUCAGAUAUCAGAGGUGAUUUGCAGACAGCGGUGACGAGGGUCCGGUUAUUUCAAUGGAGGCCGACCGAGAAGUUGUAUGCCAAAUAGUACUGGGACACACAAAGGUUGGUCUGGCUAAUGUGAGAAGACCAACCAAUGCCAAGCUGGAGUGGAAUUCUUCCAGGACAUUCAGGAAAUUCUUGUCUCGAACCAUAUGGUAAACACUUGAAAGGAAUGAUAAAUUGACUUAUUGUCUUUAAAUGUGGACCCAAACACCAAAUGGAAAGUUCACAAUUCUAAUAACACUAUGCAGCAGAGAUAGAGUCCAACUGGUAUCCCCUCAUCCUGGUUCCUGUUCAUCCAUGGCAAUAUAGAAAGAAAAGGAGGAUUGAGGGAAAGUAAGUUCUCUGAACUGGUGAACAUAAUCCGUGGGUACUGUCAAACAAACAGUUAUCACACUCUGUUAUGAGUAUUGAAGAAUAAGAUGAAAUUGCAUACUGCAUCAGGAACCAUCAUGUGAACACUGUUCAAUGUGUGGUAUACUAUAGGCAUAUGAAUAAAUGAAAAAGAUAAUUUGAUUGUUGCUUAUGUUUCAUUUGCCAGCUGUGUAAAUGGGGAUGUUUCAUGAUUUUGCCUCAGUUUAAUAGCCACACUUAUCUUAUGAAACCAUGCAUUGCUUGGGCAUCUCAAGAUAAAUAACACGUUUCCUUUGCUCUGAAAACGUCUGAUGACACAUUGAUCUAAUAUGUCAAAGUCACAACCAGACAAAAAGUUUGUUUGUGGUCUAACUCUUUCUUUGGGCAGGGGUCGAAGUUGGAAAAAGGUCGUGUGUGAUCUAUAUAUACUACAUUUUCCCCUAUAUUGCCUUUUCUGCAGAAGUCUUAGCAACUCUUAUACAUAUACUGGUUACAUUACUUCCAUAUUUUGGUCAAUGAUAUGUUGAAUUCUACCAAAGGACUGCAUAUUUGGUUUAUGUGCUGGAUAGCUCUUUGAAAUGUUUUUGAAAUAUUUAUCACUGAUGUUGAAGGCCAUUGGCAUUCAAUUGAAAAAUGUUUAGGCCUUCCAUUGGGAAACUGGGUGGAUUUAUGUUUGGUUUAUGCUUGGUUUAUGUAUUUACUUUAGUAGGUUAUUAAGGUUGCUGCUAAAACGGUCGAAAGAGGUGGUGACGAGUUUUAGUUUAUGUGCUACACCAAAGAAGGCUUUGGAGCUGGCUUCUGGAUUAGACUGCUUUAACAUGUAAGCUAGUAGGAGGACUAAGUUGUUAAGUAUUUUGCUUGCUACAUUUUGGGUGAGUUUUUUUCUAUAGCUUUUGGUUUUGGGGGCCGACAAGGUAAGAUCGUUUAUUUCCUCUGAGGAUGUGUACGCGUCCUCUUCGGUUUAGUUAUCUUUAGUUUGGUCACUCUGUUCGGUGGUGGGUUGCAUGCUGGGUUUGGGUGCGAGAGUCUGAGUGGUUUCUGUAGUUUCCCUGUUGACUGGGUGUUCGGGGGGUGCCUGUAGGUUUUGGAGUGUUGUUGCCCUUGUUGCUGUGAUGGUCGUUGUGCGUUGUGUUUUGCUUGCGGGUGUAGAUGUGGUAAUUGUAGGGUGAGAGGCGGGGAGGGUGUGAGUUUGUGGGAUGUGUUGGGUGUUUGUUUCAUUUGCGAUGUAUGCGUCUCGCUGAUUUUGGUCCCAUACGGAGACUGGGUAUACUGUUUUGCGUGCGUGAGUGUUGUUGUUUGGGGGUGGUGUUGGUAGUAGUUGUUUAUAUGCUUGCGGUGUGGUUUUUUAUUGUUUGGAUUUUGGCCGUGUUUAUGUCUAUAUGUCUGUUGGCCUGUUGGGCGAGUGAUAGUCUGUGGGGGCAUUGGUUCGAGAGUGAUGAGUGUUUUAUGGAUUUGCAGUGGAUGCACCAGGGUGUGUAUAUGCCUGGGCAGUCCGUUUGGGCACAGUUUUUGCAUUUAGUUUUUUUGAAAGUACAUUGGUUAGCGGUAUGAUUCUAUUGUAGGACAUUAGAACAUUGCUUUACUUGCUUGAUAUAUGGUUUGACCUCUAAGUUAUGGUUAGCGCCGAAAGUGAUAUGUUUGGGGGCUCCAGGGUGUUCAGCUGGUUUUUUUUAGUUUAUUAUCACAAUAGGUGUGGGGGUGGUUUUCCCGUUUCUGUUUGAUUUAAUCCCGCGGAGGCUAGUUAUUUGUGGUUGGGUUUGGAUAGUGUUAGCUUCUUGGGCGUAUAUGUCGAGGUCCUCGUCGGUUUUCCUUUGGUGCACUCGAAUAACUCCCCUAGUUUAUAUUUGCCAGUUAGGUUUAGAGCUAUUUACGGUGAAUUGGAAUAUUUGUUUAAUUUUAGUUGCUGCUAUGUUGGAUUCCUGAUUUGUGAAGAUUAUCUGAUAUCCUUUGAAGCUACGUUUGAUGUUUAGGUUAUUGAUUUUUUGUUGCCUUAGCCACAUGCCUAUUUUACUUAUGGUUAGUGUUGGAGCUAGUUGUACUGAGGGGGUGGCCGAAAAAAAGUAGAGGGCCCACGUGGCAAUGAGGGCUGCGGGUGAGAGGGUGUGUGAGGUAGGUGAUGCCGAUGCGUCUAGUUUGCGCUUUUUUAGUUGCAUGCUUGGGGAGGUGUCGGGUUGAGUUUCCAUGUAGGAAGCUUGAGGGUCUUCAUCGCCGUAGCCUGUGGGAAUGAGUGAGGGUGUUGCCCUGUCGGAGGUGUUGUGAGCACUUACUUACUUACUUACUUUGGAGAUUUAACGUGCGCUUUCCGAAAGAUGCGUAUUUCGCACACGGGCCCGGCCAGGCCAUUU
rnacentral:lncRNA from 1 species